UCCUUCUGUGGCUGCCAAGUUUCCGUAAGACAUAAAAAAAUCCAGUUUAUGAUCUAUGAUGAAGUCAUUAACCAUAGAAGCCUUGUUAGUAAUGGAUCUGAUGUUGAAAAGACCAAAUUUGUGAGAAGACGUGUGCAUGUUUACAUGGAAUUUAGCCAGUGGAAUUAGCACACUGUGGUCUACACAUCUGACGGAGCUCUUUGAGCCCCGUGAACCUGCAGACCAGAAAGUAGAGAUAGUCCCAGUAUCACCGCCACUAAACCUGAGAUUACGACGAGAUCCACGGUGAAUGUACUUUGGACGCCGGAGAGGAACAUCUUCAUGGAACUGAAGUUCUUGCAGAGAUUUAACCAAAUGCAACAAGGUUGAUUGGACGCCGCUUCACAGUACAGUUGGACAAUGACCCAAAACAUACUGCGAAAGCAACCCAGGAGGCAAAGAAGUGGAAUAUUCUAGCCAGCAUUUUUCAGCAACAAUGUGGGCAACAGGCGCAGCCAAACUUAAGUCACUUUACCAUCGCCUCUAUAAAAAGAACUUUUAGGGAGGAAAACAGGACUCUGAGAUGACCACCUGGUGGAGGCAGGCUAAGGUUUUUGUCAGUACAUUGCCAACAAUGUACUGUUGCUGUUAGCGCUGUUGCACUAUAGUAAUGAAAUAAAAUGCAUCAAA